UGCCAUUCACCGGUCUUGUAGAGAGUUUUGCGUGCAUUCCCUGCUGCUAACAACUGCAAGCACGUCGCAAUUCCUCACCGUCUCUUCAGCAAGUUUUCCUCUUCUUUCACUAGAUGUAAGAAAACUUCACUUUGGUAGCAACUUUAAUGGAUGGCAUUUCCAACAAGUGCAAGACCUUUGUGGGCUUAUCGUCACCAGCUUGACAGAAGUGGGCAGUUGAGUGACCAUGACCACGCCAGAUAUGAUUGAUAUUAUGGAUAACAGAAACAAACAGCUACAAUUAUGUAUUUAGCUAACUGUCGUGGAGUGUGAAGUUUUUUGUAUGCUAACAAAUUUAUCCUUGUUUAACUUUGUUAAAUCGUGAAGGGUUUCGAUUCUGAUUCUAAGUGCUAAGAAUAUUUUAGUAAACCCCAAGAACACUUUGUUCUUUCAUUGAAUUACAACAGCUUGUGGAAUAGCUGUUAGCCUGGAGACAUCAAGACUUCAGCUCUCUGUUAGUAACAUGCUGACAUUAAUGUGCUAGCAAUUAAUGUUUGUGAAAUAAACAACACAAUUCAUUGUGUUAAAGUUA